rnacentral:rRNA from 1 species
CGAAUUCGCCCUUACAAGGUUUCCGUAGGUGAACCUGCGGAAGGAUCAUUG